AAUGAACGCUGGCGGCAUGCCUAACACAUGCAAGUCGAACGAAGGCUUCGGCCUUAGUGGCGCACGGGUGCGUAACGCGUGGGAAUCUGCCCUCAGGGUCGGAAUAACAGCGAGAAAUUGCUGCUAAUACCGGAUGAUAUCGCGAGAUCAAAGAUUUAUCGCCUGAGGAUGAGCCCGCGUAGGAUUAGCUAGUUGGUGUGGUAAAGGCGCACCAAGGCGACGUUCCUUAGCUGGUCUGAGAGGAUGAUCAGCCACACUGGGACUGAGACACGGCCCAGACUCCUACGGGAGGCAGCAGUGGGGAAUAUUGGACAAUGGGCGAAAGCCUGAUCCAGCAAUGCCGCGUGAGUGAUGAAGGCCUUAGGGUUGUAAAGCUCUUUUACCCGGGAUGAUAAUGACAGUACCGGGAGAAUAAGCUCCGGCUAACUCCGUGCCAGCCGCCGCGGUAA
rnacentral:rRNA from 1 species